UACGUAGGCAGCGAGCGUUGUUCGGAGUUACUGGGCGUAAAGCGUGCGUAGGCGGUUGUCUAAGUCUGGUGUGAAAUCUCCCGGCUCAACUGGGAGGGUGCGCCGGAAACUGGAUGACUGGAGUGCCGGAGAGGUAAGCGGAAUUCCUGGUGUAGCGGUGAAAUGCGUAGAGAUCAGGAGGAACACCUGUGGUGUAGACAGCUUACUGGACGGUGACUGACGCUGAGGCACGAAAGCGUGGGCAGCAAACAGG
rnacentral:rRNA from 1 species